UUUGCAAAGUGUUGAAGGAACGACGCUCGAAUUCGGGUCGUUCGGGCGGACUUGCUUCACGGUCGAACGAAAAUAUCGGCGGUCCGCCAGUUACGCCACUGGGACCCUUCGAAAAGGUUGCCCGGUAACCCGAAGGUUGCAUUUAUACGAAUUGUGGCGGAAGGAACCAUUGUAUAAUCCAAGAUGGCCUCCACCUCGGAGAGGAUUAUUAUUGGCUAAUACGAGGCAAGAGGCUCCGCCUUGGCUCACGGCUCGUGACGGGAUGAUUUAUUGGGAUUUCUGUCUGUUCGCCCCUGCGCUGCAACGAACAUACCGUGUGCCUAGCUUCUAGGCGGCCCGGUACGUCUGGAACACCGCGAUAUUGGAUUUCGACGUUUCGCCCGACUGCAGCUGCAACAGCAGCCCGCGGAUUUUUUCUACACGUCGUCCGACAUGUCUCCAUUCCCUUUCUGUCCACGUGGACAUUCCAUGUGUCUUUGCCUGACCUAAUUUCCCCCUUCCUAUUUCAGCGCUACCAUUCCUUCAUGGUUUUUUCGUUCAACGCACUGAUAGAAUUUUCGGAGCAAGAUCGCUUUGGUCCGCUUCUGGAAUUGGAACUGACGUUUAAUUUAAUGGUUAAUGGAGAAGAAAUAAUUGACUUCCACUACUCUUAUUUCGAAGUCGAAGUCUCUCGAUGCAGUCGUUCUUGAAUAUAAAUCGCUCUUAAUGGAAUCACAAGUAUAACCGAGAAGUGGGUGAAGAUGAAGCAUGGACUGGGAUGCCUGUCAGCUCAAUUGACGGAUCGUCCUCCUUUGACAUUAUUUAUGGUCAAGGAUGUUCUGUCAGCAGAACUGUUCAUAUCAAUUCGCUGUUAGAUCAUUAGACUAUUCAGAUCAGUUUGCAAAAUGACCACGUCCACUUGGUAUGAAAAAUAUAUUUUAAAAAAGGUAAGUAUUUAUUCAUCUGAUUCUAUCUUUCAAAAGAAAAAAAAAAAAAAAAAACAGAAAACAAUAAAAAGGAUUAAUACAUAAAAGUACACUUACUACAUAAAACCAGAAACAAUAAAUGCCAAAGUAAAUUCAGUUCAAUAACUCCCACUUUCACCUGCUGAGAACUCAUCUUGAACGCCUCGAGAUUAUCGGGGACACGAAGCGGAAUCGUCAUCGAGUGCAUCCAGGUUGCAAUGUAGAAUGAGGAAGAUGGAGAUGAAGAAGAAGAGGAAAGAAGACGGAAAGGAAAGGGACAGACAGACAGACGAACAAGGAAGGGAAGAAGCGUGAAGGCAGUCGAGUAGAGAGCUGGCAAGAUAGAGGGGCUUGGCGGGAGGAUGGCGGUCAGAAUUUAUGGCCGCUUUAUCACUUUACCGGCCUUGCCGCGUCUCCUUUAGCCGUGAGGAGGGCAGGAUCUCACGAUGAACUUUGGCACUCGACUCCGCCGCACUCGACGAACGGUGAUGCAGUCCAGAAUGAAGAUGCGUGUUAUAUUUUUGAAACUAUGGAACUAAUGAAAGUGAUAUAAUGGAAGCUCAUGGAGGGUGUGGUUCCUGCAGAAGGAUAUAGUAGCUCCAGUGGCUUUUAUCAAAUACCGAUGACCAUAUUGAGGACAUCUACAUAGGACUUGAUAAGUGAAAUUAUUCGGGAGUAAUUUACAACCAUUAUUGUAUUCCCUAUACGAUUAUACUUAUGCAACUGCACGUUCACUAUGCACAGUAGGAGGCCCACCUUAGGAUGCUCACAUGCUACACUAUCUAGACUGUCAUGUGCCACGUCGUGAAACAAGGGCUACAGCCGAGAAGCAACAACGGCCCGUACCAAGCGGGAGGUUCGCCAAAAUGACGGAAGGCCGCGAAGCUUGUAGCGAAGUUGACCAUUUCAAAACUGGCGCCGUUUUCGAGGUGGCUGGCAGCCAUUAGGUUGCCCCGUGACAUUCGAGGGAGAGGAUGAUGGUUCCAUCGAGUAGGUAGUGCCUAGACGGGGCUCCACCCAGCACUUAGUUCACGUCGUGACUGUGGCCCGGGGCACAGCCGUUUCCAGGGUACAGUCACGCCCCUGCUGUGCCGGCACUGUACUCCGAUUCGCUGGCCCAUAUCUCAUCUGGUCCAUCGCAUUAGCCUAAUCUGCCAACUACGAGAGAAUAGAGGGACGAACGAGAGAGAGAGAGAGAGCGUGUGUGAGAGAGAGUGAAUGAGAAAGCUGGAGAAAGAGAGAACAAGAGAGAGAGAGAGAGAGAGAGAGGAAGAGAGAAACAGAAAGAGAGUAGAAAAAAAGGAAUGAUAAAACAACAAAAACGCGGCCAUCGAUGCAUGCCCCCGCCGCCACGGGAGAUCGCGUGGUGAGGUGCUGCCACCUUCUCGACCGAACCGUGAAUACGACCGAUCGAUUUUUUUACAACGCUUUAACGAAACGUUUUCCGUGCCUUCGGUUUGAUCCCUUAUCUCGCGAGCAUGUCCCCCGACUCGCGACUCCCCUCGAUAGAACCCUCUCUUUUUUUUCGGCGAUUCGAAGACACGAGAUCGGACGAUUUUUCGCCGAUCGAAACGGCACCUUGGAAUCGCGGUAUCUGGGAGCAGCGCCCAUGGUGCUUUGGACACGUUGGAUCUGCUAAGGUAAGAUUGUUUCAUCCUAAUAAUUGCCAGCUUUCGGAUAAUGCAAAUUUUUAUUAUAUCUUGAGUAGCAUAAUAUUUUGGGACGUAGUAAUGCGAUUUUUAAAAAAUUUGAGACGAAUCGUUAAGACGAGCAUAAUUCAAUUUGGGCAUAAAUCUGAGUAAAAUCUUUGGUGAUGAUUAAUAACAUAGAUCGUAUAAAUCGAAUCAUCGUUUCUUUUAUUCAACAAAUCAAUUAUAAGCAUCAGAAAUACUUCUGAUGCUUUUGCGAUUAUUCUAAACAAUGUAGAUAUUUUCUCUUUUAUUUAGUCAUUGAAUCAGUAAUUCCGAAAUUUUUAUCAAUAUGGUUCAUUAUCUCUACUCCAAAUAAUAGAUGUUAAAAAUCUCACAACUUUCAUAUAAAUUAGAUACGAUAAAUCUAAUCAAAUCCAGAAAUUUUAUCGUGGCUCAAAAUUCCUUAGUUUUUCUAUAAUUCACAGCUUUUUAAUAAUCACAACUCUUCAUGCACAUAAAAAUAUUACCCAAAUUGUUCAUCGCUCGAUCUUAAGACAAUUUUCUUUUCUAAAACGUAUUAUGUAUUUCAUUGUCCCCUCAAUAUAUUCCAAAAUAUUCUUUGAUCGUGUUCGAGAAAUUGUUCGAGCAAAAGAUUUUGUGAAUUAGCUUAGAAACACGGCCAUGGUGCGAUCAAGCAGUCAGUUUGCAUCUCACGACGGACGAGGAAGCAGCUUGUCGUCACGCGAUUGGUCUUUUCGCCUUGUUCGAGUCAUUGUCGGCGAAAUCGGUGAGUACUUUCUGCGUGCCACGCAAUUUUCAUGCCUUUGUUCUCUUUGUGUCAAUCGACACGGUCCGUUUCCGACCUGGAAGCCGAUUUGUGAACGUAGCGACGGAAAAGUGAGUUCCAUGGACUUAACUGAAUUUUAUUGGAUUGUUAUUGGAUCGCGAUUAUUUUUGGAAAUAUAAUUAAAAGAUGUAGAAUCACGUUUGAAUAUUAUUUUACGAAUUAAAAUUAUAGAACUUUGGAUAUUUCCAAAAUUUGGGUUUGGAUCCAUGGAAAGUACUUGGAGAUAUAUAUUUGAUUUUCAUAUAACUUUAAAAUCUCCUAUAAAUAGCCAAAAAUCGGUAGUCUAAUUAUUGCGUAAUAAAAAGUAAGAAAAGAAACAGAAUACAAAAG